UACGUAGGGUGCGAGCGUUGGUCCGGAAUUAUUGGCGUAAAGAGCUUGUAGGCGGUUUGUCGCGUCUGCUGUGAAAAUCCGGGGCUCAACCCCGGACUUGCAGUGGGUACGGGCAGACUAGAGUGUGGUAGGGGAGACUGGAAUUCCUGGUGUAGCGGUGAAAUGCGCAGAUAUCAGGAGGAACACCGAUGGCGAAGGCAGGUCUCUGGGCCACUACUGACGCUGAGAAGCGAAAGCGUGGGGAGCGAACAGG
rnacentral:rRNA from 1 species